AAAAACAUCGCCUCUUGAAUAAAAUCAUAAGAGGUCCUGCCUGCCCAGUGACACAAGUUUAACGGCCGCGGUAUUUUGACCGUGCGAAGGUAGCGUAAUCAGUCGUCUUUUAAAUGAAGGCUUGUAUGAAUGGUAAUACGAAAACUCAACUGUCUCACUCUUUUAACCAAUGAAAUUGAUUUCUCCGUGCGGAAGCGGGGAUGAAAACAUAAGACAAAAAGACCCUGUGGAGCUUCAGAUUAACUCAGCUUAGACUUUUAUAAAUAUUUCUUAUAAUAAAAUUUUAACCCUGAUAACAUCUUAGAUUGGGGCGAUCACGGAGAAAAUAUACCCUCCACGAAGAAAAAUAUAUAUUUUUAUAAUCAAGAGCUACCGCUCUAAGCACUAAAAUAUUUAACUUUAUGAUCCGGCUUGCCGAAUAACGAAUCCAGUUACCCCAGGGAUAACAGCGCAAUCCCCUUAAAGAGCACGUAUCACCAAGGGGGCUUACGACCUCGAUGUUGGAUCAGGGCAUCCUAGUGGCGCAUCCACUAUUAAGGGUUCGUUUGUUCAACGAUUAAAGCCCUACGUGAUCU
rnacentral:rRNA from 1 species